GGCGAAGUAGCAAAGUGGUUACUGCGAUUGACUAGAAACCAUCAGUGGUGUUGAAAACCAACACAACGGUGGUAGCCAUCAAUUCCCUUCGGGGGCGUAGGUUCGAAUCCUGCCUUCGUCG